CCUACGGGGGGCAGCAGUAGGGAAUUUUCGUCAAUGGGCGCAAGCCUGAACGAGCAAUGCCGCGUGAACGAGGAAGGUCUUCGGAUCGUAAAGUUCUGUUGAAGGGGAAAAAGAGCGGAGAGAGGAAAUGGUCUCCGAUUGAUAUUACCCUUCGAGGAAGUCACGGCUAACUACGUGCCAGCAGCCGCGGUAAUACGUGGGUGGCGAGCGUUAUCCGGAAUGAUUGGGCGUAAAGGGUGCGUAGGCGGCCUGCUAGGUAUGGAGUGAAAGGUACCGGCUCAACCGGGAUAGGCUCUGGAAACUGGCGGGCUAGAGAGCAGGAGAGGGCGGUGGAACUCCAUGUGUAGCGGUAAAAUGCGUAGAUAUAUGGAAGAACACCAGUGGCGAAGGCGGCCGCCUGGCCUGUUACUGACGCUGAGGCACGAAAGCGUGGGGAGCAAAUAGGAUUAGAUACCCCAGUAGUC
rnacentral:rRNA from 1 species